GAUGAACGCUGGCGGCGUGCCUAAUACAUGCAAGUCGAGCGAACAGUUGAGGAGCUUGCUCCUCUGACGUUAGCGGCGGACGGGUGAGUAACACGUGGAUAACCUACCUAUAAGACUGGGAUAACUUCGGGAAACCGGAGCUAAUACCGGAUAAUAUAUUGAACCGCAUGGUUCAAUAGUGAAAGACGGUUUUGCUGUCACUUAUAGAUGGAUCCGCGCCGCAUUAGCUAGUUGGUAAGGUAACGGCUUACCAAGGCAACGAUGCGUAGCCGACCUGAGAGGGUGAUCGGCCACACUGGAACUGAGACACGGUCCAGACUCCUACGGGAGGCAGCAGUAGGGAAUCUUCCGCAAUGGGCCAAAGCCUGACGGAGCAACGCCGCGUGAGUGAUGAAGGUCUUCGGAUCGUAAAACUCUGUUAUUAGGGAAGAACAAAUGUGUAAGUAACUAUGCACGUCUUGACGGUACCUAAUCAGAAAGCCACGGCUAACUACGUG
rnacentral:rRNA from 1 species